rnacentral:rRNA from 1 species
AUUGAACGCUAGCGGGAUGCCUUACACAUGCAAGUCGAACGGAGUGGCGAACGGGUGAGUAAUGUAUCGGAACGUGCCCAGUAGCGGGGGAUAACUACGCGAAAGCGUAGCUAAUACCGCAUACUCUUGGAGCGGCCGCUAUCGGCUUAGCUAGUUGGUGGGGUACCGGCUCACCAAGGCGACGAUGCGUAGCUGGGUUGAGAGGACGACGAGCCACACUGGGACGUAGACGAGGCCCAGACUCCUACGGGAGGCAGCAGUGGGGAAGUUUGGAAAAUGGGGGAAACCCUGACCCAGCCAUCCCGCGUGUGCGAUGAAGGCCUUCGGGUUGUAAAGCACUUUUGGCAGGAAAGCGGUACCUGCAGAAUAAGCACCGGCUAACUACGUGCCAGCAGCCGCGGUAAUUC